UGAAAGUUUUGCCCCAAACCGACGCUGAUGCUUAUCUUCCAUGCUGGACCUUUUCUAGAAAGUUUAUCUGCGUUUAUUUGCGUUUCACUUCGAACUGCACCGCAGCUUCCAGCGUCACGCACGGAUAACCGCGUCUUUUCCUGCUGCUCAGAGCUGUAGUGCAUGAUGGGAUUUUGUACUGAUGAGAUAUUUUCACUGCUGGUUGAUUUCCUCUAAGAAGAAGAGAUUCGAGCCCCCAGACCCCCCGAGGCUGGAGGCCGGAACCUUCAAGAGAUGGAUUCACCUCCAAGGAGACGGCGCAGCAGAGAGCUGCCGUUUGACCUGUCAGGUCUGGUCAAUAAACUUCAGCUGGAUUCAGAUUCUUUCACCUCACUGCUCAACAGCAAUGAACCAAGGAUGAGGGAGAUCGUGGAGGAGCUUCUGAGGAUUUCUGAAGAAGUCAAAGACAUGCAGAGAAGAGCAGACAUUCGAAGAACAGCCGGAGCUGUAGGAGCUGCAGGUGGAGCUGCUCUCCUCCUGCUCAGUGCAGCAGUCCCAGUUCUUCUUCCAUUUGCUGCUGCUGCUGGUGGUGCAGCUGCUCUUACAGGUGGAGGUGCUGUCAUCAGUGCAAAUAUCACUAAAAUGAUGAGUGAGAGUGGAAGUGCUGAAGAGGUGAAGAAUCUGGGAGAAGAGUUGAUGAAGAUUGUUGAACCGAUGAAGCAGCUCUUGGUUCAAAUCCAUCAAACAUGCGAAGAUCUGGAGGAGAACGUCUCCAAGUAUCAGGCUGAAGAGUCCCUGAAAGAUGUGGAGGGUCUUCAGAAGGUCCUCCAUCAGGUGUCUGAGCUGAAGAAGAAGAGUGGAGGAGCUGUUGAUGUGGUGGAGGUGUUGAUUCAAUCAGUAACCAGCCUGCUGCUGCUGCUCGUGAACGUUUUCAGAGUCACUGCAACACCUGAAGAAGACCAGAAGCUGAGAGACGCCAUCAUUCAGUCAGCUGAUCAGAACCAGAGGCUCACUGAGGACUUCUGUCUGAUGAGGGAGGAACUGGCAAAGUUCAGGAAGUGAAGAGAACACUCACACACACACACACACACACACACACACACACACACACACACACACACACACACACACACAAACAGUCUUGUAUUUCUAUCCUUGUGGGGACCGUCCAUUG